ACUCCUACGGGAGGCAGCAGUGGGGAAUUUUGGACAAUGGGCGAAAGCCUGAUCCAGCAAUGCCGCGUGAGUGAAGAAGGCCUUCGGGUUGUAAAGCUCUUUUGUCAGGGAAGAAACGGUGAGAGCUAAUAUCUUUUGCUAAUGACGGUACCUGAAGAAUAAGCACCGGCUAACUACGUGCCAGCAGCCGCGGUAAUAAGUAGGGUGCAAGCGUUAAUCGGAAUUACUGGGCGUAAAGCGUGCGCAGGCGGUUUUGUAAGUCUGAUGUGAAAUCCCCGGGCUCAACCUGGGAAUUGCAUUGGAGACUGCAAGGCUAGAAUCUGGCAGAGGGGGGUAGAAUUCCACGUGUAGCAGUGAAAUGCGUAGAUAUGUGGAGGAACACCGAUGGCGAAGGCAGCCCCCUGGGUCAAGAUUGACGCUCAUGCACGAAAGCGUGGGGAGCAAACAGGAUUAGAACCCUUGUAGUCCCAUGA
rnacentral:rRNA from 1 species